rnacentral:rRNA from 1 species
UACGUAGGGGGGCAAGCGUUGUCCGGAAUCAUUGGGCGUAAAGAGCGUGUAGGCGGCCCGAUAAGUCCGCCGUGAAAGUCCAGGGCUCAACCCUGGAAUGCCGGUGGAAACUGUCGGGCUGGAGUCCGGAAGAGGCGAGUGGAAUUCCUGGUGUAGCGGUGAAAUGCGCAGAUAUCAGGAGGAACACCAAUGGCGAAGGCGGCUCACUGGACCAUUACUGACACUGAGGCACGAAAGCUAGGGGAGCAAACAGG